rnacentral:misc_RNA from 1 species
UCCUGGUUAACCCAGGCAGUCUCAUUAGAGUUCCCACCUUAAAUGUUGGCAACUAAUGAUAGGGGUUGCGCUCGUUACGGGACCUAACCCAACAUCUCACGACACGAGCUGACGACAGCCAUGCAGCACCUGUGUUCCCGCCAGCCGAACUGAAGGGUUCCAUCUCUGGAACCCAUACGGGACAUGUCAAGGGUCGGUAAGGUUCUGCGCGUUGCUUCGAAUUGAACCACAUGCUCCACCGCUUGUGCGGGCCCCCGUCAAUUCCUUUGAGUUUCAGUCUUGCGACCGUACUCCCCAGGCGGAGUGCUUAAUGUGUUGACUUCGGCACAGCAGGGGUCGAUACCCGCUACACCAAGCACUCAUCGUUUACGGCGUGGACUAC